GUGAGGGACCUCGCCGGCAUUCAACGUGUACGACUGGAAGGGGGAGAGGGUGGCGCCACUGCUGCAAGUCUACAACUGCGGUGUCUCCCUUCGUGCAGCGCACGAGGAGGAGAGGGCGCGGAAUAGGGGUACUAGGCCAUGCCUGCACUUCUAUUGCUUCUUUUGAAAGACUGAGAUUUAUUCUAUUUGACGAGUUUGGUGGCUGCAAAUUGUCUCAUGCAAGGAACAUCGAUCCGGACGCGGUUCCGAGAUGCACAUUGCAGGACCAGAUAAGCACCGUCGCUUCAGCCUUCAGAGAGGAUUCUCCAACCAAUUGAGCAGCACCUUCAUCGAUCUGUGCGAUUCUACAGUUGAGAUAGAAUUGUUGAUGUCGAAGUUUACUAAGCUAAGCUUUGAGAUGGGAAAGACGGUAUUUGGAAUAACCUCAAUAUUACCUUCUGGUCUAUUGGAUCAAUAUAAUCGACAAGUCUCAGAAAAUAUAUCAUCAACUAUA